rnacentral:lncRNA from 1 species
AUGAAGUUAACUCUUUGGAGAUUCCACGCUCAGAGGAUGAAGAUGAAGAUGAUGACGAGGAUGAGUCUCCUCCCACUACCACUAGAUUCAGCACCCAGCCUCGGUCAGUUGAUGUUCCUGUUCCGGAGACACGACAGACAUCUUCAGCACAAGCUUCAGCACUAGCUCAAGCUCAAGCUCCUUCAGUAUCAACUCCUCCAGCUCCAGGGACGUCAGCAGAAGCCUUCACCGACGCUGUUUUAUCGACUCCAUCAUCAGCUGCCUAGAGAGACGAGUAGUUCUAUACUUUUGAAUUUUUUGGUAACUUGUUGCCAAAGGGGAAGAAAUGUAUAGAUCAUAGACUUCGUGUGAGAGCGAGCUUUUGACAUUAUUUGCUCU